AGACGUUAUGGGAAAGUUGUCUCUCUCCCUGCAUCUCUCUCCCUCUCCCCGUCCCCUCCCUCCUUCUCCUUCUCUUCGUCUAUCAUGUGCCUGGGAUAUGCUCAUGCUUUGCACAGAGCAGCUGUAGCACGCCUUAUGCAGGCUACUGAGUGUUAGCGGCAGUUUUAAAGUGAUGGCCCCCCCACCAAAUAAUACGGCUGGGAUAUUUGAGGGGGAACAUAUACCAUGUCACGGUGCACACGGACCUGAGUGACCGCCGCUUGUUCUUCUCCUGCCUGGGACGCUUUCUGAUCGAUUGCAGUGGUUUGACUCACCUUUAGGAAUGAUGGAGAAAGGGAGCUGUGGAGGACUGCAGGCAGCAAGAAGUAGAGGUCAACAUGAGAUCUCUGAGAUUUUGCUCUCCACUGGACCCACAUGAGGUUGGAGGGAGACCUCAUAGAUUGUGACCCAGAUACAAAUGGCAUAAUGACUGGAAUCUCCAGGCCAAAGAUGUCAAGGAUAUUCAGCUGAUCUCAGAGGUAAACGAGUUGUCCUGAUCAACUAGAGAGGAGCUUGAGGAUGUCUGCACAUUAAUCUCACAUGCUUUUGGAGCUUCAUGUUACUCACUACAACACUUGGACCUGCACUGUACUGUUUAUUUGUGUAUUUCUCUCAAUUGGUUAAAUAAGAUUGUUGACCAAACUGUCCUUCACAAUGACCUGAAAAUAGUCAUUCCAACACCUCCUGUGAGCUUAAGCAUCAACAUAUAUAUUUUAAAUACAAAGAUGAAAAUAUUCUGCGCAUUGAAACUUGUGUUUAUUUCAUGUAAUUGAUUGAGUCUAACAAGUAUACCUUUU